rnacentral:rRNA from 1 species
GGGAUAACUUCGGGAAACCGGAGCUAAUACCGGAUAAUAUAUUGAACCGCAUGGUUCAAUAGUGAAAGACGGUUUUGCUGUCACUUAUAGAUGGAUCCGCGCCGCAUUAGCUAGUUGGUAAGGUAACGGCUUACCAAGGCAACGAUGCGUAGCCGACCUGAGAGGGUGAUCGGCCACACUGGAACUGAGACACGGUCCAGACUCCUACGGGAGGCAGCAGUAGGGAAUCUUCCGCAAUGGGCGAAAGCCUGACGGAGCAACGCCGCGUGAGUGAUGAAGGUCUUCGGAUCGUAAAACUCUGUUAUUAGGGAAGAACAAAUGUGUAAGUAACUAUGCACGUCUUGACGGUACCUAAUCAGAAAGCCACGGCUAACUACGUGCCAGCAGCCGCGGUAAUACGUAGGUGGCAAGCGUUAUCCGGAAUUAUUGGGCGUAAAGCGCGCGUAGGCGGUUUUUUAAGUCUGAUGUGAAAGCCCACGGCUCAACCGUGGAGGGUCAUUGGAAACUGGAAAACUUGAGUGCAGAAGAGGAAAGUGGAAUUCCAUGUGUAGCGGUGAAAUGCGCAGAGAUAUGGAGGAACACCAGUGGCGAAGGCGACUU